rnacentral:rRNA from 1 species
GACGAACGCUGGCGGCGUGCUUAACACAUGCAAGUCGAACGGAAAGGCCCUGCUUUUGUGGGGUGCUCGAGUGGCGAACGGGUGAGUAACACGUGAGUAACCUGCCCUUGACUUUGGGAUAACUUCAGGAAACUGGGGCUAAUACCGGAUAGGAGCUCCUGCUGCAUGGUGGGGGUUGGAAAGUUUCGGCGGGUGGGGAUGGACUCGCGGCUUAUCAGCUUGUUGGUGGGGUAGUGGCUUACCAAGGCUUUGGCGGGUAGCCGGCCUGAGAGGGUGACCGGCCACCAUGGGACUGAGAUACGGCCCAGACUCCUACGGGAGGCAGCAGUGGCAAAUAUUGCACAAUGGGCGGAAGCCUGAUGCAGCAACGCCGCGUGCGGGAUGACGGCCUUCGGGUUGUAAACCGCUUUCGCCUGUUACGAAGCGUGAGUGACGGUAAUGGGUAAAGAAGCACCGGCUAACUACGUG